AAACUCAUGAAUACUCUGUAUUUAAAACCUCCACUGGCGAUCAGGGCACAUAGAAUCUCUACUACUGAUCCCUGACGCUGGCCAUCCCCCAACCCGUCGGCCCACGGACCCCAGCCCUGACCCCACCUCCUCCCAGCAUCUUACACAAGGAUUCUCACCACACUCCCCAGAGACUCGCCUGCCCAGGGCCCCUCUCUAACCCCAUAUAGCUCAGGUCUCUGAUCCAGAGACUGCAUCACCGACCUCUCCGACUACCUAUUUCCAGAUUAGAGUCCCUGAUCACAGAGGCAUUGUCUAAAAUAACUAGCUCUUACAACUAUGUCCACUUCAGGAACCGCCCUGUGAUGUCAGAACUUUGAGGCCGCCCGGCCAGGGCUGCACAUGCUCAGUGAGGUCGGCGCCCGCCAGUAACAAACAUGGCUCCCUGAAGCCGCUCAGGCUCAAGAGCAACAUGGAGGUCUGCACUUAAUCGCUCCUCUCCGGGGGCGGCCAUACCGAGGAGGCGUCUCUUCCGUGCAGGCAGGCUCUCCUGGGGACCUCAGAGAUUCUCUCCAGCGGCAGCGGAAAACGGACAAUGGGUGGAUUCGGGUCCAGAUUCUGGUAGGAGGGAGUUUGGGAUCGAGAUCUGGAAAAAAGCACUAGACUGGAAGAGGACGCGAUGGAGUCGGAGCCGCUGGCGGGGACAAAAACCAGAGGCCGGGGAAGGCGCCGGUGGGAGGCAAGGCACGGAUGGACUUUACCUGCGCACGCGUCGCAGCCAUCUCCGCGCACAGUGGUGGCCACCGCGACUGGUGCUGAAGUGUUGGCGCGUGCCGGGCGCUCCGCUGGGACCCGGGUUGCUGGCCCUGAGUCUCAGCUUUCUCAUCUGUACGGUUGGGACAAGUACAGUAACCCUCGCCCGUCAAGACGGGCCAGGGCUGUGGCGAGGGUCCACGCCUUAGAGCAGGCAGGAGUAGGGCUGAUUGGAGCCAUUGUACAGUGUCGGGAACAUACCAGGACACUGAGAAUAGUGUCAUGUCAUAAGGACCCAGAGCAGAUGGACCCUGCUGUGAUGCACAAAGGUGAGGGUGCAGCUGCCCAGGACACACUCAUGCAUGUUUGUGUGGACCAU
rnacentral:lncRNA from 1 species